AGCUCCAAUAGCGUAUAUUAAAGUUGUUGCAGUUAAAACGCUCGUAGUCGGAUUUCGGGGCCUGCCUGCCGGUCUGCCGAUGGGUAUGCACUGGCAGGCGCGUCCUUCCUUCCGGAGACUGUCCCUACUCUUAACUGAGCGGGGUCGGGAGACGGAUCGUUUACUUUGAAAAAAUCAGAGUGUUUCAAGCAGGCAGCUCGCUCUUGCAUGGAUUAGCAUGGGAUAAUGAAAUAGGACUUUGGUGCUAUUUUGUUGGUUUCGAACACCGAAGUAAUGAUUAACAGGGACAGUCAGGGGCACUCGUAUUCCGCCGAGAGAGGUGAAAUUCUCAGACCAGCGGAAGACGAACCACUGCGAAAGCAUUUGCCAGGGAUGUUUUCACUG
rnacentral:rRNA from 1 species